rnacentral:rRNA from 1 species
AUAUAAUGUCUAUAGUGUUAAUGCACCGAAUCUCAUGAGAACUCGGCAGUUAAGUGCACUUGGGCUAGAGAAAAACUAAGAUGGGUGACCUACUGGGAAGUCCUAGUGUUUUGUAUG